rnacentral:rRNA from 1 species
GUAGGGAAUCUUCCACAAUGGACGAAAGUCUGAUGGAGCAACGCCGCGUGAGUGAAGAAGGUCUUCGGAUCGUAAAACUCUGUUGUUAGAGAAGAACGUGCAUGAUAGUAACUGAUCAUGUAAUGACGGUAUCUAACCAGAAAGCCACGGCUAACUACGUGCCAGCAGCCGCGGUAAUACGUAGGUGGCAAGCGUUGUCCGGAUUUAUUGGGCGUAAAGGGAACGCAGGCGGUUUUUUACGUCUGAUGUGAAAGCCUUCGGCUUAACCGAAGAAUAGCAUUGGAAACUGGAAGACUUGAGUGCAGAAGAGGAGAGUGGAAUUCCAUGUGUAGCGGUGAAAUGCGUAGAUAUAACACAGAACACCGAUUGCGAAGGCAGCUUACUGGGAUGCAACUGACGCUCAUGCACGAAAGCGUGGGGAUCAAACAGGAUUAGAUACCCUGGUAGUCC